UCUCUUCGGUAAAUCAGAAGGCUCUGCAUAAAUACAGCCAAUUGUUAAACAUUUAGCUGCACACACUGGGCUCAUCUUCAUUAUUGGUAAAAUGAGCUAGACGAUAUUUUUCCAUUAGCUCACACUCCAAUUCCAAUCGACCUGACCAGCAGAAGAGACAAAAAAGGAAAAUCCUGGCCAGUUGUCCCCUACCUGAUCAACCAGUAACAUAAUCAGAUUUGCAAGACCUCAAGAAAAGAAACCUGAAAAUGCCACUGGAGGUGUGUGUUUUGCCAAAGAAAAAAGAAUCAAAAACAAAACCUGCAGGAUGAGGACAAACAAACAAAGAGCAGGGACAGAGUCUCACUAUGUUGACACCCUGGACAACACUCUUGAAGUACUCUCUUCCCAGGGAGGCCACAGUCAUAGCAUGCAAGAUGAGAUACUGAUCCUCAGAGAAUUUAAGUGAUUUGCUCAGGUUCACAGUUAGUUAAGCGGUAAAGCAAGGAACUGAGGUGUCGGGGCUCACAACAUGAUACCCCAAAAUAAUGGCACCUUGGCAUAGGGUCUCAGCCAUGAACCUUGUGAUGGAUAAGGAAAAGAUAUUCUUUUUCUCCCCUUACAGUUUCUGGCAGCCAACAUGGGGUGGCUGCGACACCCCACUAGUUCCAAAACCUGCAGAUGAGAUCCUGAGACAACUAAUAAAAAAACAACAAAAG
rnacentral:sRNA from 1 species